rnacentral:rRNA from 1 species
AGAACGAACGCUGGCGGCAUGCCUAAUACAUGCAAGUCGAACGAACUCUUCGGAGUUAGUGGCGCACGGGUGCGUAACGCGUGGGAAUCUGCCCCUUGGUUCGGAAUAACAGUUGGAAACGACUGCUAAUACCGGAUGAUGACGAAAGUCCAAAGAUUUAUCGCCAAGGGAUGAGCCCGCGUAGGAUUAGCUAGUUGGUGAGGUAAAGGCUCACCAAGGCAACGAUCCUUAGCUGGUCUGAGAGGAUGAUCAGCCACACUGGGACUGAGACACGGCCCAGACUCCUACGGGAGGCAGCAGUAGGGAAUAUUGGACAAUGGGCGAAAGCCUGAUCAGCAAUGCGCGUGAGUGAUGAAGGCCUUAGGGGUGUAAAGCUCUUUAACCCGAGUAUGAUAAUGACAGUAUCGGGAAG